UCUUAGAUGACUGAGUAAUAAGUAAUAGAUUUUUAAUCUAAAAACGGCAAAUUUGUUUGCCUCUAAGAG
rnacentral:tRNA from 1 species